rnacentral:lncRNA from 1 species
CAAGAGGGGAUUCAGGGCUAAGAGGAGCCUCCAGCGCCAGGAAGGAGACUCCAGGAAGAAGGGAAGUCAGGUGACUUGUCCAAGGUCACAGAGGGGCCCUUCCCAGGAGGGCACAGUCUCAGGGGAUCUGACCCCACAGAGCCAGCGGCUGGAGGUAAAGCUCGGGGCCCAGCCUGGACUCCAGCCAGGAGCUGAGGUGGGAGAGCCCACCCACUCCGCCAUGUUUCUAGAGCGAAGUGAUGCGGAUUUCUUCAUAGCUGCUCCCAGAGAACACUCUCCAGCCAUUUUUCCUGGCUGCUCCCCCAGCCUGAAAUGCCGUCCCUCCUCCCCUGUUUUCCUGAUCCUGCUUAACGUCAGCGGCUUCCCUUUGAGACCAAGAAGACAUGGAAACCAAAGUUGAGGACUUAAUGGCUUUGUCCAAGGCCACACAGAUGCUAAGGGAAAAAUCCAGGAUUGAGACCAAAGUUUCCAGGCUGAAAGAUGGAGGGGCCACGUGGAAAGGGCCUAAAGGAAUUGAGUUUGAAUAUCAGUCCUCCUGCUUAUAGCCUGUAUCAUCUUGGACAAGUUAUUUGACUUCAGCUUCUUCUUCCUCUAUAAAAGGUGGGCAUUGGAUGAGAUGUCCUCUGAUGUCCCUCCCAGCUCAUAGUCUAUGACCCUUUGAUGCUCAAGUUCAGUGCCCUCUCCACUGGCCCAUGCUGCCUUUCAUGAGAAAGGACAGUCAAUAAACAUUUAUUAAGCACCUA